rnacentral:rRNA from 1 species
GAUGAACGCUAGCGAUAGGCCUAACACAUGCAAGUCGAGGGGCAGCAUGGUCUUAGCUUGCUAAGACUGAUGGCGACCGGCGCACGGGUGCGUAAUGCGUAUGCAACUUGUCUCACAGAGGGGGCUAACCCGUCGCAAGACUAACUAAUACCGCUUACAUUUGGGAUAGGGUUCCCUGAUCCAAGGAAAUGAAAUUCGCUGUUAUAUAGGCAUGCGUCCCAUUAGCUCGUUGGUGAGGUAACGGCUCACCAAGGCGACGAUGGGUAGGGGAACUGAGAGGGUGAACCCCCACACUGGUACUGAGACACGGACCAGACUGCUACGGGAGGCAGCGGAAAGGAAUAUUGUGCGAUGAGGGCGAGCCUGAACCAGCCGAGUCGGGUGAAGGAUGACUGUCUUAUGAAUACUAAGCUUCUUUUAAACGAGAAAAGCGAGAGUAACGUGGGGCUCCCUGACUGUACCGUAUGAGUAAGCAACGGCUAACUCCGUG